GUGGGGAAUAUUGGACAAUGGGCGCAAGCCUGAUCUAGCCAUGCCGCGUGAGCGAUGAAGGCCUUAGGGUUGUAAAGCUCUUUCAGUGGGGAAGAUAAUGACUGUACCCACAGAAGAAGCCCCGGCUAACUCCGUGCCAGCAGCCGCGGUAAUACGGAGGGGGCUAGCGUUGUUCGGAAUUACUGGGCGUAAAGCGCACGUAGGCGGACUGGAAAGUCAGGGGUGAAAUCCCGGGGCUCAACCCCGGAACUGCCUUUGAAACUCCCAGUCUUGAGGUCGAGAGAGGUGAGUGGAAUUCCGAGUGUAGAGGUGAAAUUCGUAGAUAUUCGGAGGAACACCAGUGGCGAAGGCGGCUCACUGGCUCGAUACUGACGCUGAGGUGCGAAAGCGUGGGGAGCAAACAGGAUUAGAAACCCGUGUAGUCC
rnacentral:rRNA from 1 species